rnacentral:rRNA from 1 species
UACGGAGGGGGUUAGCGUUGUUCGGAAUUACUGGGCGUAAAGCGCACGUAGGCGGAUUAGAAAGUUGGGGGUGAAAUCCCGGGGCUCAACCUCGGAACUGCCUCCAAAACUCCUAGUCUAGAGUUCGAGAGGGGUGAGUGGAAUUCCAAGUGUAGAGGUGAAAUUCGUAGAUAUUUGGAGGAACACCAGUGGCGAAGGCGGCUCACUGGCUCGAUACUGACGCUGAGGUGCGAAAGUGUGGGGAGCAAACAGC